GAGCAGAUGAUGAAUGAUAACAGUGUUUCACUGAUAGCAAUGAUGCUUCAUAAUCGAGCUUUUUAAACCUGAUGCUCA